rnacentral:piRNA from 1 species
UGUGAAUUAGUGAUGCUGGAGCACCC